ACCUGACUGGCUCAGUGGGUAGGGCGUGUGACUCUUGAACUUGGGGUUGUGAGUUCAAGCCCCACGCUGGGUA
rnacentral:tRNA from 1 species